rnacentral:rRNA from 1 species
GGAGUCUAGCAUGCGCGCGAGUCAUCGGGAACGAUUAAACCCGCAGGCGAAGUGAAAGCGAAGCAUCCGUCUUAGCGCGGUGCGAGGGAGGAUGGGCGGUACGCGCGCGUACGCCUCGCACUCCCGGGGCGUCUCGCGCUCAUCGCGAGCUGAGGCGCACCCAGAGCGUGCACGCUGGGACCCGAAAGAUGGUGAACUAUGCCUGGUCAGGACGAAGUCAGGGGAAACCCUGAUGGAGGUCCGUAGCGAUUCUGACGUGCAAAUCGAUCGUCUGAACUGGGUAUAGGGGCGAAAGACUAAUCGAACCAUCUAGUAGCUGGUUCCCUCCGAAGUUUCCCUCAGGAUAGCUGGCGCCCGCGUACAAUUUCCUGCCGCGCGGCGGGUUCGCGCCCGUCCGCGCGGCGCCAAGGAUACGGACGAGUCUCAUCCGGUAAAGCGAAUGAUUAGAGGCAUUGGGGUCGAAACGGCCUCAACCUAUUCUCAAACUUUAAAUGGGUGAGAUCUCCGGCCUGCUUGAUUAUUGAUAUGCACGAGGCCGGAGAUCGGAUCAGGGUGCCAAGUGGGCCACUUUUGGUAAGCAGAACUGGCGCUGUGGGAUGAACCAAACGCAGAGUUAAAGCGCCAAAAUCGACGCUAAUGGGACACCAUGAAAGGCGUUGGUAACUUAAGACAGCAGGACGGU